UACAGAGGUCUCAAGCGUUGUUCGGAUUCAUUGGGCGUAAAGAGCUCGUAGGCGGUUUGUCGCGUCUGCUGUGAAAACCCGAGGCUCAACCUCGGGCCUGCAGUGGGUACGGGCAGACUAGAGUGCGGUAGGGGAGAUUGGAAUUCCUGGUGUAGCGGUGGAAUGCGCAGAUAUCAGGAGGAACACCGAUGGCGAAGGCAGAUCUCUGGGCCGUAACUGACGCUGAGGAGCGAAAGCAUGGGGAGCGAACAGG
rnacentral:rRNA from 1 species